rnacentral:rRNA from 1 species
GAUGAACGCUAGCGGCAGGCCUAAUACAUGCAAGUCGAACGAUAGUUACCAGCUUGCUGGUAACGAAAAGUGGCGCACGGGUGCGUAACGCGUAUGCAACCUACCUUAUUCAGGGGGAUAGCCCGAAGAAAUUCGGAUUAACACCGCAUAAAAUCACAGAACAGCAUUGUUUAAUGAUCAAAUAUUUAUAGGAAUAAGAUGGGCAUGCGUGUCAUUAGCUAGUUGGCGGGGUAACGGCCCACCAAGGCGACGAUGACUAGGGGAUCUGAGAGGAUGACCCCCCACACUGGUACUGAGACACGGACCAGACUCCUACGGGAGGCAGCAGUAAGGAAUAUUGGUCAAUGGAGGCAACUCUGAACCAGCCAUGCCGCGUGCAGGAAGACAGCCCUCUGGGUCGUAAACUGCUUUUAUUCGGGAAUAAACCUUAUUACGUGUAAUAAGCUGAAUGUACCGAAGGAAUAAGGAUCGGCUAACUCCGUGCCAGCAGCCGCGGUAAUACGGAGGAUCCAAGCGUUAUCCGGAUUUAUUGGGUUUAAAGGGUGCGUAGGCGGCUUAUUAAGUCAGGGGUGAAAGACGGUGGCUCAACCAUCGCAGUGCCCUUGAUACUGAUGAGCUUGAAUGAACUAGAGGUAGGCGGAAUGUGACAAGUAGCGGUGAAAUGCAUAGAUAUGUCACAGAACACCGAUUGCGAAGGCAGCUUACUAUGGUUUUAUUGACGCUGAGGCACGAAAGCGUGGGGAUCAAACAGGAUUAGAUACCCUGGUAGUCCACGCCCUAAACGAUGAAUACUCGCUGUUAGCGAUAUACAGUUAGCGGCUAAGCGAAAGCGUUAAGUAUUCCACCUGGGGAGUACGCCCGCAAGGGUGAAACUCAAAGGAAUUGACGGGGGCCCGCACAAGCGGAGGAGCAUGUGGUUUAAUUCGAUGAUACGCGAGGAACCUUACCCGGGCUUGAAAGUUAGUGAAUGAUUUAGAGAUAGAUCAGUGAGCAAUCACACGAAACUAGGUGCUGCAUGGCUGUCGUCAGCUCGUGCCGUGAGGUGUUGGGUUAAGUCCCGCAACGAGCGCAACCCCUAUGUUUAGUUGCCAGCACGUUAAGGUGGGGACUCUAAACAGACUGCCUGUGCAAACAGAGAGGAAGGAGGGGACGACGUCAAGUCAUCAUGGCCCUUACGUCCGGGGCUACACACGUGCUACAAUGGAUGGUACAGAGGGCAGCAAGCUGGUAACAGCAAGCAAAUCUCAAAAAGCCAUUCACAGUUCGGAUAGAGGUCUGCAACUCGACCUCUUGAAGUUGGAUUCGCUAGUAAUCGCGUAUCAGCAAUGACGCGGUGAAUACGUUCCCGGGCCU